rnacentral:lncRNA from 1 species
UGACAAUAAGAUCCUGUCCAUUGGAAAUUCGAUCCACAGUAAGGCACAUGACAGGACCCAGGUGACCAGUUAGCUUCCCUGUAGACUGAAAUCUUUUCAGGUCCCACAUCCUCACUGAAUUUCCAGCAGCUGCAUAGAGGAAUGUGCCAGUUGGAUUUAGUGCAAUCUGAUUAAUCUGAUUCUCUCCAGCUGGGAUAGUGACUGUUCUGUUUG